rnacentral:rRNA from 1 species
UACGAAGGGGGCUAGCGUUGCUCGGAAUUACUGGGCGUAAAGCGCACGUAGGCGGCUUUCUAAGUCGGGGGUGAAAUCCUGGAGCUCAACUCCAGAACUGCCUUCGAUACUGGAGAGCUUGAGUCCGGGAGAAGUGAGUGGAACUGCGAGUGUAGAGGUGAAAUUCGUAGAUAUUCGCAAGAACACCAGUGGCGAAGGCGGCUCACUGGCCCGGUACUGACGCUGAGGUGCGAAAGCGUGGGGAGCAAACGGG